rnacentral:misc_RNA from 1 species
UAUAUAUUCGCGCUAUUACACGCUAUAACAUUAUUCAUUCUAUAACUUUGUAUGUGGGUGUAUAAAAAUUCAUAGCUAGGGCUUUCGACAUCGUUUCCAACAUCGUAAUCAUCCCAAGCUACACAUAGUGCACAAGUGUGAGAGGUGGAUGUGUGAUCAAGGUGUGCACAUGCCUUGAAAGGCCAGCUACAACCCUUCUCAACAUUCAUUUCAUUAAUGAUCCUUCCGCAGGUUCACCUACGGAAA